GUGGGGAAUCUUCCGCAAUGGACGAAAGUCUGACGGAGCGACGCCGCGUGAGUGAAGAAGGCCUUCGGGUCGUAAAGCUCUGUCAUCAGGGACGAACGGCCGGUGGAGUGGAAAGCCACCGGAUUGACGGUACCUGAGAAGGAAGCCACGGCUAACUACGUGCCAGCAGCCGCGGUAAUACGUAGGUGGCAAGCGUUGUCCGUAAUUAUUGGGCGUAAAGCGCGCGCAGGUGGGAUCUUAAGUCCAUUUUUAAAGUUCGGAGCUCAACUCCGUGAUGGGAUGGAAACUGGGAUUCGUGAGUACCGGAGAGGAAAGCGGAAUUCCCCGUGUAGCGGUGAAAUGCGUAGAUAUGGGGAGGAACACCAGUGGCGAAGGCGGCUUUCUGGACGGUGUCUGACACUGAGGCGCGAAAGCCAGGGGAGCGAACGGGAUUAGAAACCCUGGUAGUCC
rnacentral:rRNA from 1 species